rnacentral:rRNA from 1 species
CUUCGGAUCUAGUGGCAGACGGGUGAGUAACGCGUGGGAAUCUACCCAGUUCUCUGGAAUAACUGAUGGAAACGUCAGCUAAUACCGGAUACGCCCUUUUGGGGAAAGAUUUAUCGGGAUUGGAUGAGCCCGCGUAAGAUUAGCUAGUUGGUGGGGUAAUGGCCUACCAAGGCGACGAUCUUUAGCUGGUCUGAGAGGAUGAUCAGCCACACUGGGACUGAGACACGGCCCAGACUCCUACGGGAGGCAGCAGUGGGGAAUAUUGGACAAUGGGGGCAACCCUGAUCCAGCCAUGCCGCGUGAGUGAUGAAGGCCUUAGGGUUGUAAAGCUCUUUCACCGGUGAAGAUAAUGACGGUAACCGGAGAAGAAGCCCCGGCUAACUUCGUGCCAGCAGCCGCGGUAAUACGAAGGGGGCUAGCGUUGUUCGGAAUUACUGGGCGUAAAGCGCACGUAGGCGGAUAUUUAAGUCGGGGGUGAAAUCCCGGAGCUCAACUCCGGAACUGCCUUUGAUACUGGAUAUCUAGAGACCGAGAGAGGUAAGUGGAACUCCUAGUGUAGAGGUGGAAUUCGUAGAUAUUAGGAAGAACACCAGUGGCGAAGGCGGCUUACUGGCUCGGAACUGACGCUGAGGUGCGAAAGCGUGAGGAGCAAACAGGAUUAGAUACCCUGGUAGUCCACGCCGUAAACUAUGAGAGCUAGCCGUUGGGGGUGUUUACACUUCAGUGGC